UGCAAGUCGAACGAAGAGCUCGGCGUAGCAAUACGCUGAUCACUCUUAGUGGCGAACGGGUGAGUAACGCGUUGGUGACCUGCCCCAAAGAGAGGGAUAACAGUUCGAAAGGACUGCUAAUACCUCAUGUGAUCAUUUGGACUAGAAGCCUUAUGAUUAAAGGAGCUUGCUCCGCUUUGGGAGGGGCCUGCGUGCCAUCAGCUAGUUGGUAGGGUAAUGGCCUACCAAGGCUAUGACGGCUAGGGGACCUGAGAGGGUGGCCCCCCACAAUGGAACUGAAACACGGUCCAUACACCUACGGGUGGCAGCAGUAGGGAAUAUUGGUAAUCCGCGAAAGCGGGAACCAGCAACGCCGCGUGUGCGAAGAAGGCCUUCGGGUUGUAAAGCACUUUUCGGG
rnacentral:rRNA from 1 species